GACGAACGCUGGCGGCGUGCCUAAUACAUGCAAGUCGAGCGGAAUGAUGAAGUAAGCUUGCUUCUUCUGAUUUUUAGCGGCGGACGGGUGAGUAACACGUGGGCAACUACCUUGUAGAUUGGGAUAACUCCGGGAAACCGGGGCUAAUACCGAAUAAUCCAUUUUGCUUCAUGGCGAGAUGUUGAAAGACGGUUUCGGCUGUCACUACAAGAUGGGCCCGCGGCGCAUUAGCUAGUUGGUAGGGUAAUGGCCUACCAAGGCGACGAUGCGUAGCCGACCUGAGAGGGUGAUCGGCCACACUGGGACUGAGACACGGCCCAGACUCCUACGGGAGGCAGCAGUAGGGAAUCUUCCACAAUGGACGAAAGUCUGAUGGAGCAACGCCGCGUGAGUGAAGAAGGUUUUCGGAUCGUAAAACUCUGUUGUAAGGGAAGAACACGUACGAGAGUAACUGCUCGUACCUUGACGGUACCUUAUUAGAAAGCCACGGCUAACUACGUG
rnacentral:rRNA from 1 species